UACGAAGGGUGCAAGCGUUGUUCGGAAUUACUGGGCGUAAAGGGUGCGUAGGCGGCUAGUUAAGUCUGUUGUGAAAUCCCCGGGCUCAACCUGGGAAUGGCAAUGGAUACUGGCUGGCUAGAGUGUGUCAGAGGAUGGUGGAAUUCCCGGUGUAGCGGUGAAAUGCGUAGAGAUCGGGAGGAACAUCAGUGGCGAAGGCGGCCAUCUGGGACAACACUGACGCUGAAGCACGAAAGCGUGGGGAGCAAACAGG
rnacentral:rRNA from 1 species